AGAGUUUGAUCAUGGCUCAGGAUGAACGCUGGCGGCAUGCCUAAUACAUGCAAGUCGAACGGAGUCUUUUAGACUUAGUGGCGAACGGGUGAGUAAUACAUAGGUACUUGUCUUUGAGUUUUGGAUAACGGUUAGAAAUGACCGCUAAUACGAAAUUAAACUUACGUUAAAAGGUCCCCUUAAAGGACCGCUUAUUGAGAGGCCUAUGGCGCAUUAGCUAGUUGGUGAGAUAAAAGCCCACCAAGGCUGUGAUGCGUAGCUGUGCUGAGAGGCAGAACAGCCACACUGGGACUGAGACACGGCCCAGACUCCUACGGGAGGCAGCAGUAGGGAAUUUUCGGCAAUGGGGGAAACCCUGACCGAGCAAUGCCGCGUGCACGAUGAAGAUCUUCGGAUUGUAAAGUGCUGUUGUUAGGGAAGAAAAAACAGAAGAGGAAAUGCUUUUGUCUUGACGGUACCUAACGAGGAAGCCCCGGCUAACUAUGUGCCAGCAGCCGCGGU
rnacentral:rRNA from 1 species